rnacentral:rRNA from 1 species
GACGAACGCUGGCGGCGUGCUUAACACAUGCAAGUCGAACGGAAAGUCCUUGCUUUUGUGGGGUGCUCGAGUGUCGAACGUGUGAGUAACACGUUAGUAACCUGCCCUUGACUUUGGGAUAACUUUAGUAAACUGUGGCUAAUACCGGAUAGGAGCUCCUGCUGCAUGGUGGGGGUUUGCAAGUUUCGGCGGUUGUGGAUGGACUCGCGGCUUAUCAGCUUGUUGGUGGGGGAGUGUCUUACCAAGUCUUUGACGGGUAGCCGGCCUGAGAGGGUGACCGGCAACAAUGGGACUGAGAUACGGCCGAGAAUACUACGGGAGGAAGCAGUAGGGAAGAAUGCACAGUGAGCGGAAGACUGAUGAAGGAACGACGCGGGCGGGAUGAAGGACUUCGGGGUGUAGACAGCUGUCGCCUGUGAAGAAGAGGGAGUGACGGUAAUGGGUAAAGAAGCACCGGCUAACUACGUG